rnacentral:lncRNA from 1 species
ACUAAGGCAACUCCGAUUGAAUGCGAAAUCCCGCUAGCCAUUAUUCGUAUGAACUCCUAGAUCCAUGAAGGACAUGGGCAUCUGUAAGCCGGUGUAGCUAAGCGAAGAGCGGAAAGAAGGAAUCAGAAAAUCAAUGCAUUCCUUCUUAAACUUACCGGUCUGAUGAUAUCUUAAUCUAAGAAAAGAAGAUUUAAUAAGAAAAUAAAAUUUCCUUUUUCGGGUAAAGGUUUAAUUAAGAAUUCCAGGUGGUCCAGUGGAUGGAUUAAGCUAUUGAUCAUAUCAUAGGUCAAGGACGGAACGAAGAACCAACGUUUUUCUUCCUCCUCUGUUCUCUACUAAGAUUGUAAUAGAUUCGUGCUUUCUCUUCCCCGAGGGAACGGAACUAGCACUAUAAUUCCGAGUCACCUAUCCAGUAUGUGAGUGAGCCCGCCCUACGGAUCCCCUUUGUUCAAUGGGGGAGGGGUCAUACCUUCCCCGCCCGCUUAGUUUCAUAAGUCUAAAUGAUUUGGGGCACAGAAUCUGCCGUAGAUGUGAAAUUUGCUAAUUUUCAUUCUCAGCUUUCUCAUCACAUGAAUGAGACAUAACUUCUUA